UCGGAAUUACUGGGCGUAAAGGGCGUGUAGGCGGCCUUCUAAGUCGGACGUGAAAUCCCUCGGCUCAACCGGGGAACUGCGUCUGAUACUGGAAGGCUCGAAUUCGGGAGAGGGAUGCGGAAUUCCAGGUGUAGCGGUGAAAUGCGUAGAUAUCUGGAGGAACACCGGUGGCGAAGGCGGCAUCCUGGACCGAUAUUGACGCUUAAGCGCGAAAGACAGGGGAGCAAACGGG
rnacentral:rRNA from 1 species